rnacentral:rRNA from 1 species
GACGAACGCUGGCGGCGUGCUUAACACAUGCAAGUCGAACGGAAAGGCCCUGCUUUUGUGGGGUGCUCGAGUGGCGAACGGGUGAGUAACACGUGAGUAACCUGCCCUUGACUUUGGGAUAACUUCAGGAAACUGGGGCUAAUACCGGAUAGGAGCUCCUGCUGCAUGGUGGGGGAUGGAAAGUUUCGGCGGUUGGGGAUGGACUCGCGGCUUAUCAGCUUGUUGGUGGGGUAGUGGCUUACCAAGGCUUUGACGGGUAGCCGGCCUGAGAGGGUGACCGGCCACAUUGGGACUGAGAUACGGCCCAGACGCCUACGGGAGGCAGCAGUGGGGAAUAUUGCACAGUGGGCGGAAGCCUGAUGCAGCAACGCCGCGUGCGGGAUGCCGGCCUUCGGGUUGUAAACCGCUUUCGCCUGUGACGAAGCGUGAGUGACGGUAAUGGGUAAAGAAGCACCGGCUAACUACGUG